CUAGUGGUUAAGCCACGCCCCUUCUAAAUUCCCACCUCGAGGAGGUCCCCAAAACCAACCCAAUGACCAAACAACAACGAGGAACAGGGGCCACGAGCAAGUGAGUGACAGGGGGGUGAAAGUUGCGUCGGGGAACGGGCUCCCGCCUCUGGUUCCCUCUGCCCGUGGCGCGCUCCUCUUCCUUCCUGGAGGCAGAAUAAAUCAAAUCAGUGUUGGCUACCGCCGGGACACGAGGACACGGUGGAUCGAUCUCCGAGGAUUCUCUCACCUCUUCACCGACUGCGGCUCUUGGUAAGUAUAGGUUUCCUUCCUUACUGUUCCUUUAACACGCACACGGGUUCUCUCUACUCCU